AUUGAACGCUGGCGGCAGGCCUAACACAUGCAAGUCGGACGGUAGCACAGAGGAGCUUGCUCCUCGGGUGACGAGUGGCGGACGGGUGAGUAAUGUCUGGGGAUCUGCCCGAUAGAGGGGGAUAACCACUGGAAACGGUGGCUAAUACCGCAUAACGUCGCAAGACCAAAGAGGGGGACCUUCGGGCCUCUCACUAUCGGAUGAACCCAGAUGGGAUUAGCUAGUAGGCGGGGUAAUGGCCCACCUAGGCGACGAUCCCUAGCUGGUCUGAGAGUAUGGCCAGCCACACUGGAACUGAGACACGGGCCAGACUCCUACGGGAGGCAGCAGUGGGGAAUAUUGCACAAUGGGCGCAAGCCUGAUGCAGCCAUGCCGCGUGUAUGAAGAAGGCCUUCGGGUUGUAAAGUACUUUCAGCGGGGAGGAAGGCGGUGCGGUUAAUAACCGCGCCGAUUGACGUUACCCGCAGAAGAAGCACCGGCUAACUCCGUGCCAGCCGCCGCGGUAA
rnacentral:rRNA from 1 species